rnacentral:lncRNA from 1 species
GGUGAACUUGGCCGGCAUCUCGUACACAUAAACCCUAACCACCGACAGCCCCGACCACGGAUCCGCCGGAUCCCCAUAAAGCCUCCCUGUUUCCUUCCCCCAGAUCUUGUCAUCGAGCGCUUUUACCGCGGCUCCGCCCGCGUCGGCCGCGACGGAGGAAGAUCCGGCGGAGACAGGGCGCCGGGAGGUGAGGAACUUCUCGAGAGAGGCGACGAAGGAGUAGAAGAAGAAGAUGGAGGCGAGCACGAGGAGGGAGAGGGUGGCGACGAGGAACGAGGGAGAGGAGGAAGAAUCCUGGCUGGCUGCCGACGACAACCCACACCACACAUUAUUAAUAUGUACGGUUCAUCGCCGGAGAGGAGGAAGGAGGAGAGGAACGGCCCGCAUGUUUUUUUGUUGUGAAUUUGAGUUCUGACGACGCGUAUACGCGUCGUCUUAGGC